rnacentral:rRNA from 1 species
UAGGUUGAGCCUACGUCGGAUUAGCUAGUUGGUGGGGUAAAGGCCUACCAAAGCGACGAUCCGUAGCUGGUCUGAGAGGAUGACCAGCCACACUGGGACUGAGACACGGCCCAGACUCCUACGGGAGGCAGCAGUGGGGAAUCUUGGACAAUGGGGGAAACCCUGAUCCAGCGAUANCGCGUGUGUGAAGAAGGCCUUCGGGUUGUAAAGCACUUUAG